CAUUUCCUGCGGUUGCUUUCUCUAAGCAACUUGAAGAAGCAGAAGGUUCUGCCUCUUCGUGACCGACUCGGACUGACGUUUUGAAGAGAACCGUUGUACAAAAAAAAAUCCCUCUCCACAUGCAUGAACCGCAUCGCUUCUCUCUUGCCUCGGUUCUGUCUGUCAAGAUAACAGUAAAAACGUCAGAAAGCAGAGAAGCUGCUUCGUCCCUCACCCGCUUUCUUGGUGCGUCUGGUUUCACUUCAUGGCUGACCACUGGGGGACGUAAAUAACAUCAGAGAAGCAUGGGAGUGGGGCUGAACGGAAUCUAAAGUUUUGGUUUACAAUUCAAGAUGACCUUUGACAUCAUUGGUCUCUUGAACUACAAUGGCUUCAAAUGUCAUAGCAUGAGGAACAAAAUGACAUCAGUUUGGCUCACUUUCUUCACGCCUCACCAGCCUGAAGCGUGUCCUCUCGCGUCUGCAUGCACACUUCUCUGGUCUUCACCGACCGAGGAAUCGACACGACCUUUUCAUUUACGCCGAGAAAGAAAACGUUUUUUUGGAAACCAAAAGAGGAAGGGGCAGCCGGCCCACUCAUCUGAUUAGAACCCAGCCCUCUGCUGAAAACAGACCCUCAUUCUGAUCCAGGACAGAGCCAGUCAGGGGGUCCGCAUUUAAGUCUGGAUAUCAGAACGGCGUUAGAACCCAUUGACAUUUGAAAGGUCUGAGACCUGCUGCACACCGAAAGAACACUGGCGACAACAUGAAACCACCUAGAAAAACGUGGGGUUCCGUGUCUUGCCCAAGGACACUUCAACACAUGGCUGCACAGGGACGGACACAGAUCAGAGGUUUAGAUGAGAAGAACGUGAAACACGAUCUAACCCGGAGGAUUCCCUGUUGACGAUGCCUGAAGAUUGGAGCCAAAAGAAGAUUUCAUUUCAAAAUAACAGAACUGAUAUGAGACAGACCAGAGACCUGUCCAAGGAUGUACCCUGCCUUCGCCGACGAGGAUAGGCUCCGGCAGCCAUGUGACCCCGAAAAGGACAAAACGGGUUCAGAAGAUGAAGACUGAAAUGAAUGAAUGAUAUGAGUAAAUAAAAUCAAACAUCCAAGUUGUGCACUGAGCUUAAAAUAAACGUAAACUAAAACGACCGUCACACUACCAAUUUUUAAUUGUGUUAUAUAUUUUUUAACUGUAAUCACUAAUAACUAAUUCCUGAGUGAUGUUUCACAGCAGAACUAAGGAACUUAACCUUUUUCACUCUCAGUAUUGAGUCAUGAGGAGAAAAAAACAAACAGAAAAAUGUAGUCUAUACUCCAAGGCAUGGAUGCAGCAAUGCAGCGAUGUCUCAUGCAUAACUUGCGUUUCCUGAGUGACUCAAACAUUCCCAUUUCAUCGUAAAAAAAUGUGACAGGAGGAAGUAGACGAGCGAGGGCGUUUGUCGUUCUAUACGAUGUGACUGUCACUCCACAGUUUACGGCAAGCCCAAACCAUGCGGUCUGACAAAACCAACUGGCAGCACAAAAACUCCACAUGAACAAUUCACUCAACUUUUAUAGCUUCAAAGGUUGGGAGAGUUAAACUGCAAACGAGCUGCAAAAAUUGUUUGUUUUCUUUUAUCUGUAAAAUUCAAGGCUUCAUCCACAUCCAGCACAUUUCUGGUGUGGUUUCUGUCCCUCUUAGUUAAAGUCAGUGAGGAGUUUGAGAGGAAACGUCCCUGUCAGUGUUUUAAUGACAUGACCUGGUGGAUGAUUCAUAAUCACACAAACAGAGCGAGCGUCUUAUCACGGUGGACGUUUGAUGGAAACACAACGACCUUCGCAUUUUUUUUUACUCUAAACCCAUCUUUAGGACAUCAGUCAACUCCAAGGAUAAAUCUUUGUUUUUCUCUGAUCCAUGUGCAUCACGGUUUUACGUGGGCCAUCUCCCGAUGUUGCUUGACUGACAGAGCAGACGCUUAUCUUAUCAGAUAUUGCAUUGUACUAAAUGAGAUCUCCACUUCAUAAACGCGUGUCGUUGACCUGUUGUGCACGAGGUGGAAAACAUUCUCAUGGCAGCAAUAAAAAGUCUGGUCACUCA